rnacentral:rRNA from 1 species
ACGGAGGGGGCUAGCGUUGUUCGGAAUUACUGGGCGUAAAGCGCACGUAGGCGGUUUUGUAAGUCAGAUGUGAAAUCCCCGGGCUUAACCUGGGAACUGCGUUUGAAACUACAAGGCUAGAGUGUGGCAGAGGGGGGUGGAAUUCCACGUGUAGCAGUGAAAUGCGUAGAGAUGUGGAGGAACACCGAUGGCGAAGGCAGCCCCCUGGGUUAACACUGACGCUCAGGCACGAAAGCGUGGGGAGCAAACAGGA